rnacentral:tRNA from 1 species
GCCACUGUAGCUCAGUUGGUAGAGCAACGCACUGAAAAUGCGUGGGUCGCCGGUUCAAGUCCGGCUGGUGGCA